rnacentral:rRNA from 1 species
UACGGAGGGUGCAAGCGUUAUCCGGAUUCACUGGGUUUAAAGGGUGCGUAGGCGGGCAGGUAAGUCCGUGGUGAAAUCUCUGAGCUUAACUCAGAAACUGCCAUGGAUACUAUUUGUCUUGAAUAUUGUGGAGGUAAGCGGAAUAUGUCAUGUAGCGGUGAAAUGCUUAGAGAUCGGCAGGAACACCCAGGGGGAAGCCAGCCGGCUGGGGACGUGCUGACGCUCAGGGGCGAAAGCGUGGGGAGCGAACCGG